rnacentral:rRNA from 1 species
GAUGAACGCUGGCGGCGUGCUUAACACAUGCAAGUCGAACGAUCAUUCGCAAGGAUGAUAGUGGCGAACGGGUGAGUAACACGUGGGUGACCUGCCCCAGAGAGGGGAAUAACUACUGGAAACGGUGGCUAAUACCCCAUACACUCGGCAGUUCGGUCUGUCGAGCAAAGCUCCGGCGCUCUGGGAGGGGCCUGCGGCCCAUCAGGUAGUUGGUAGGGUAAUGGCCUACCAAGCCUAUGACGGGUAGGGGGCGUGAGAGCGUGAUCCCCCCACACUGGCACUGAGACACGGGCCAGACUCCUACGGGAGGCAG